rnacentral:rRNA from 1 species
UACGUAGGGAGCAAGCGUUGUCCGGAAUCAUUGGGCGUAAAGCGCGCGUAGGCGGCCCUGUAAGUCCGUUGUGAAAGUCAAAGGCUCAACCUUUGAAAGCCGAUGGAUACUGCAGGGCUAGAGUCCGGAAGAGGCGAGUGGAAUUCCUGGUGUAGCGGUGGAAUGCGCAGAUAUCGGGAGGAACACCAAUGGCGAAGGCAGCUCGCUGGGACGUGACUGACGCUGAGACGCGAAAGCGUGGGGAGCAAACAGG